rnacentral:tRNA from 1 species
CGGCGGCAUGGCCUGGCGCUCCAAGCUGGCCGCAUCAGCAGCGGCCUCCUCACCGGCUGCGGCAGGUGGGUCGUUCAACGCGAUGGCCGGCGACC